GAAUCAACUGCCUUCAGUAGUCACUACGACGUUGGACAAAAGACUAGAGUCUUGUCUGGCAAAGUUACGUAGUUUUAGUAAUAUUGGUUAUACUUAUAUAUUUCUUAAAAAAAACUACAAUGCCUCGAAAUUACAAGCGGAAGGCUCCACACAGGUCCGUUGUUACCCGUGAUCAAUUUGAUGCUGCUAAGCGAUUGAUUGCCGAAGGUUUAAGUAAAAGAAAAGCAGCUGAACAGGUUGGAAUGAAAGAGAGUACUCUCAGGAAGCGAUUAAAAUCUGAUUCAACUGCUCUAAAAUUAGGAAGAUUUACUUCAACUUUCACAAAUACGAUGUGUUCCAAUUUAGAUGGUUAGUCUAUUUCCUGGGCAAAUAGUAAUAAAAGCGACAACUCACAGGCCUUCGUUUAAAUGGGAGUUAAAUUUGUCUCGUUCGAGAAUAAACUGUGUUUUGGAAAAGUUUUAGGAUGACACUGGUUUUAUAAUCUUAAGGUCCAAUUAUAUAUAAAAAAACCUUCCAGAGCAAGUAAUACUAAACGAUCAGCGAUAUACUUUAAUAUUUUCGAUUUCACUCUAUAGGGUUUCUGUUUCCGCCAAAAUCAUAUCACAUUGAAAACGUUUUUGACAUUAAUGCACUGAUAUAGGAAGAGCGAAUGAGGUGGCUGAUAGUUCGUGUAGGAAAGUGUUAUUAUAUGUUUUUUGAAACGUUCGGUAUUAACAAUCGUUUGAAGCAUAUUGAAUUGACCAAAUUUAAAGUAUUCUCAUAAAAAGCGACUCAAGCUAUAUGUACCCUUGUUUAACCGUUGUGUUUGAAAUUCUGACAAGGAUUUACCGAUUUAAUACUGCCUUCUGCGUGGAUUUCUCUGCCUACCAAAAUGAAUUAUUUUGCAAAGGAUUCUCCUAAAUACUAGUAACCAUCAUAUAGCUAUUAGGUAAUACAGGGAUCGUAAAUGCGGCAAAAUUAAUAGAUACCAAGGGUGGAACUCCGUAACCGAAAGCGAUACCGAUAGACACACAAUAUUUUUCAACUUUUUCGUGAGUUUUUAAGCGAUUUGCAGAGAUUUUAUGGCUGUGUCUUAGUCCCCAUAUUCAUAACAAAAAAUUCAAAACAAAUACCAAUCGGAAAAAAAAACGAAAAAACCUCUAUCAAACCGAAAAGUAUCCAAUACACGUUUUGUCAUCACCAAGGUAUGUACAGCUCCUCCACAACAUAUUUUUUAUGUUGUUUAUACUCGUAUUUUCAUAUGUUGCUGGUCUCAAAAAUAUCAGCAUAUUCAUUCUUUCAGUUCCCUCUGCCGUGCAUUCAACCUUUCCGUUCCAUUAUUGAGGCAAGUCUUUGCUUAUUUCGAGGAAAUAUUACCAUUUUAGGGGGACUUUGGAUAGUUCUUCUGGCGCAACAAAUCAACCUUCUAAUACUUUUAAGCGGCUGCUCAUUCGCGAUUAGGAGAUAAAUGAGAGUUUCCUCGUCAUUUAAACACAACCUACGUCUCGACUGGAUACUACGUAAUAUGGAGGUCCCUUCUUAGGUGGCAGUGUCCUGUCAGGAUGGCGUAGUCCCGUGCUACCUAGGCUAAGAACCUAUGUCGAGCCUGAAUUUUAGAGGGUUCCGCAAUUAUCUCGUUUAGGUCGCCCCAAAAAUCUGGCGAUAGUCCCAUCUACGCCCUCCUACUGCGUCGAAGAAGUGCUGAACGGUUUUUUUACUUCCAAAAAGGCCGUUUUUUUUAGAACGAUCGCAGCUCGUUAUGAGCAAGAAUCAUUUCCGUGGAUUUCCCUAACAAAUACGAUGUUCGUUACCUUAGCCUUUGUACAACGACCCUUAAAUACAGUUUUGUCGAUCCCUCAUUCUUUUUCAACAAUGGCAAUAUAUGUAAUAGCUAUACGCUAAACUUACAGAUUUAUAUAAUAUAGCUGUUUGGGCACUCAAGUAAAAAAUACGGGUUCGUUCGAACUGUCGAAAAUAUUUCGUGUCAUGCGGUUGUCUGACAAAUGUCAUGCGUGAUUGUUGCUAUAGAUUCUACGAUAAACAGAUGUAUACUGCUUAUUCCUUCACAUAGAGAUUUAAUUUUUCGUGACUACAAACAUUUUCUACGAAAGAAAACAUAGCAAUCAUUCAUUUGCUGUUUUGUCUCAUCACACACGUAUUCGGGUAGAAUUGACUGUUACGUUAUACGCCAAGCUCUUACCAACAUGCGACGACAAGCUAGCCAAAAGAGACGGGACUGCGAGGAAAAACCGCUAGCAAAAUUUUUAAAUAGCUGAAUUUAACGUUGCCUAGGAUUUUAUUAGGCAAUGCAUAGGAUCAUAAGCAUUGCAUUGGGAUCAUAAUUUUAAAUCCUCUUUGAUAUUUGUGGCACAUUGUAAGGAGUUGGAAUAUGCUCCCUCUUCGUUUACUCCAAAUACUAGUGUCGUGCAGUUUAAUAUAACAUAACGCAAUACAAAAUUAUAUCUGUAAAAUCACAAGAAAUAACGUCUAACAAUAAAACAAUUAUAUCCACAUAUAUAUUUGCAUGCUUAGCACAUAACAAUUAUCGACUUGAGUGCCCGUUCCCUGUUAGAGUUUGCAAAAUAAUGUCGUGGUGAUUGCAACGAAUGUAAACAUAAACAUUUUAAGGCAACAAGUGACUCACUAAUUAACCACAUAAAUUACCAAUGCACCACAAACAAACUUAAAUAUGAAGUCUAAAAGAAGCCAAAUUUUCAAAGAAACUUCUAUAGGCUAAUGUACUAUUUACAAACCUUCUGAAUUCCUCCUGGGUCGGUUGUUUAUAAAUCAAACUUUCUGACGCUUGGGAAAUCAUCCUGUUGGCUUCUUCAGAGCUUGGCUUGGCUUAUUGAAACUGAAACGCGGGUGGAAUCCAGAAGAUUUGUAAAUAGUCUAAAAGAAGCUUUCAUUAGCGCAUUUCCUCUGAACUAGCGGACCCAUUUCUCUUGGUUUGGUUUUGAAAUUUUGUGAAAGUAAACAGUCCAGCGCCAUUAUGUACGUUCCAUUUUAAAUACCAAAUUUUUAGUUAUGAUUAGCACGAUAGUACAAAUUAAUUCCUGAUUACUAUC